GACGAACGCUGGCGGCGUGCCUAACACAUGCAAGUCGAACGGGGUAAUCCUUCGGGGUUACUUAGUGGCGAACGGGUGAGUAACGCGUGAGAAACCUGCCUCUCAGUGGGGGACAGCAGUUGGAAACGACUGCUAAUACCGCAUAAUGUACACGGACCGCUUGAUCUGUGUACCAAAGCUUUAUGUGCUGGGAGAUGGUCUCGCGUCUGAUUAGCUAGAUGGCGGGGUAACGGCCCACCUUGGCGACGAUCAGUAGCGGGUCUGAGAGGAUGAACGGACACAGUGGGACUGAGAUACGGACCAGACUCCUACGGGAGGCAGCAGUGGGGAAUAUUGGGCAAUGGGGGAAACCCUGACCCAGCAACGCCGCGUGAAGGAAGAAGGCCUUCGGGUUGUAAACUUCUUUUACCAGGGACGAAGAACGUGACGGUACCUGGAGAAAAAGCAACGGCUAACUACGUGCCAGCAGCCGCCGCCGUAA
rnacentral:rRNA from 1 species